rnacentral:rRNA from 1 species
CGCCUGAGAGUUCAUAUCGGCGGCGCGGUUUGGCACCUCGAUGUCGGCUCAUCGCAUCCUGGGGCUGGAGCAGGUCCCAAGGGUUUGGCUGUUCGCCAAUUAAAGCGGUACGCGAGCUGGGUUCAGAACGUCGUGAGACAGUUCGGUCCCUAUCUGUCGUGGGCGGAGGAUACUUGAAGGGAGUUGACCAUAGUACGAGAGGACCUGGUUGAACGUAUCCCUAGUGUUCCGGUUGUUUCGCCAGAAGCAUAGCCGGGUAGCUAUAUACGGAAUCGAUAACCGCUGAAAGCAUCUAAGCGGGAAGCGAGCCCUAAGAUGAGGUAUCCCUGGACUUCGGUCCCUAAAGGCCACUUGUAGACUACGAGUUUGAUAGGCUGGGUGUGGAAGUGCGGCAACGCAUGGAGCUGACCAGUACUAAUCGGCCGUGAGGCUUGACCUC